rnacentral:rRNA from 1 species
AGUGAACGCUGGCGGUAGGCCUAACACAUGCAAGUCGAACGGCAGCACAGGAGAGCUUGCUCUCUGGGUGGCGAGUGGCGGACGGGUGAGGAAUACAUCGGAAUCUACUUUUUCGUGGGGGAUAACGUAGGGAAACUUACGCUAAUACCGCAUACGACCUACGGGUGAAAGCAGGGGACCUUCGGGCCUUGCGCGAUUGAAUGAGCCGAUGUCGGAUUAGCUGGUUGGCGGGGUAAAGGCCCACCGAGGCGACGAUCCGUAGCUGGUCUGGGAGGAUGGUCAGCCACACUGGAACGGAGACACGGUCCAGACUCCUACGGGAGGCAGCAGGGGGGAAUAUUGGACAAUGGGCGCAAGCCUGAUCCAGCCAUACCGCGUGGGUGAAGAAGGCCUUCGGGUUGUAAAGCCCUUUUGUCGGGAAAGAAAUCCAGCUGGCUAAUACCCGGUUGGGAUGACGGUACCCAAAGAAUAAGCACCGGCUAACUUCGUGCCAGCCGCCGCAGUAA